UAACUCGUUUUUGCUCUAUGAUCACAUC
rnacentral:piRNA from 1 species